UGAAACUCAAAGGAAUUGACGGGGGCCCGCACAAGCGGUGGAGCAUGUGGUUUAUUUCGAAGCAACGCGAAGAACCUUACCAGGUCUUGACAUCCAGUGCAAACCUAAGAGAUUAGGUGUUCCCUUCGGGGACGCUGAGACAGGUGGUGCAUGGCUGUCGUCAGCUCGUGUCGUGAGAUGUUGGGUUAAGUCCCGCAACGAGCGCAACCCUUGUCAUUAGUUGCCAUCAUUAAGUUGGGCACUCUAAUGAGACUGCCGGUGACAAACCGGAGGAAGGUGGGGAUGACGUCAAGUCAUCAUGCCCCUUAUGACCUGGGCUACACACGUGCUACAAUGGACGGUACAACGAGAAGCGAACCUGCGAAGGCAAGCGGAUCUCUUAAAGCCGUUCUCAGUUCGGACUGUAGGCUGCAACUCGCCUACACGAAGCUGGAAUCGCUAGUAAUCGCGGAUCAGCACGCCGCGGUGAAUACGUUCCCGGGCCUUGCACACACCGCCCGUCA
rnacentral:rRNA from 1 species